UGUCUCUUCAAAUAUGUCAUUGCCAUUCUUCUGGAGACCACUAGGUGGACACACUGUAUAGGUCCAGCAGAAUGCUCUUCCUACCUUAAAGGUAGGUCAGUGGAGCAUUGUUGCUCAGUGUUGUCAGGGCUAAUGUCUCAAAGGGGUUUGUUGUAGUGUAUGCAACAUUCAGAGACUUUACAGCUACAACAUAAAUAGCAGUUUGUUGUAGUGUAUGCAAUAUUCAGGGACACGCUUAUCUGACUCUGCGAUUUUAUGUAAGGACAUUCAGAGAAAUGUUGUCAUUUCAUUCCCUGGGUGACCCUGUGACUUGUUAGGCAGAAAGGAGGACAUUGUUAAGAUAAACAUCUCAGUGAACAAAAGAAGACAAGUAAAAUACAGAAACCUGAGCUUUCUAUGGACUUUGUAAAUGAAGGAGAAGAGCUGAAGAAAUCUGAAAGGUAUUUUGGAUCUGGAAGUCCACUGCACUGUUGACCAAUUUUAAUGAUCUAAAGACACUGUUGACCGUUUUAAUUAACUAAACGACACUGUUGACGGUUUUAAUGCACUAAAAGAUACUGUUGACCCUUUUAAUUAACUGAACCACACUGUUGACUGUUUUUAAUGAUCUAAAGGACACUGUUGACCAAUUUUAAUUAACUAAAGGACACUGUUGACCUUUUUAAUGAUCUAAACAACACUGUUGGCUGUUUUAAUGCACUAAACGAAACUGUUGACCGUUUUAAUGAACUACAGAGGACCUUGCUGCUUCCGUGAAGGACAGAGAGCUAUGGCAUGCCAUCUUUUGGAGCAUUGCGUCACCAUACGCAGUCAGCCAAAGACUGCCUGGAUCUGUAUCCACAGAACACAGUGUUGAUGUGCAGCAGUGUUCUUGUAUGUCAUGUGGCACAGUGUACAGAGAGAAGAACAAGGAGGUGUGGCUUGCCCCCCUCCAACACCUCUCUGUCUGACCCCAAUACGUUGGCCCCUGUGGGGCAUGUUAGACACCGUACUACCAUCCCCUGAGACUGUGUUCCUGGUGUCAGUACAUGGGGCAUGUUAGAUACCGUACUACCAUCCCCUGAGACUGUGUUCCUGGUG
ensembl:lncRNA